UAGGGAAUCUUCGGCAAUGGGGGGAACCCUGACCGAGCAACGCCGCGCGAGUUAAGAAGGUUUUCGGAUCGUAAAGCUCUGUUGUUAAGGAAGAACGAGUGUGAGAAUGGAAAGUUCAUACUGUGACGGUACUUAACCAGAAAGGGACGGCUAACUACGUGCCAGCAGCCGCGGUAAUACGUAGGUCCCGAGCGUUGUCCGGAUUUAUUGGGCGUAAAGCGAGCGCAGGCGGUUAGAUAAGUCUGAAGUUAAAGGCAGUGGCUCAACCAUUGUAGGCUUUGGAAACUGUUUAACUUGAGUGCAGAAGGGGAGAGUGGAAUUCCAUGUGUAGCGGUGAAAUGCGUAGAUAUAUGGAGGAACACCGGUGGCGAAAGCGGCUCUCUGGUCUGUAACUGACGCUGAGGCUCGAAAGCGUGGGGAGCGAACAGG
rnacentral:rRNA from 1 species